CCAUUGCUCUAGAAGCAUCUCU
rnacentral:snRNA from 1 species